AUUGAACGCUGGCGGCAUGCCUUACACAUGCAAGUCGAACGGCAGCAUGAUCUAGCUUGCUAGAUUGAUGGCGAGUGGCGAACGGGUGAGUAAUACAUCGGAACGUGCCCUGUAGUGGGGGAUAACUAGUCGAAAGAUUAGCUAAUACCGCAUACGACCUGAGGGUGAAAGUGGGGGACCGCAAGGCCUCAUGCUAUAGGAGCGGCCGAUGUCUGAUUAGCUAGUUGGUGAGGUAAAGUCUCACCAAGGCGACGAUCAGUAGCUGGUCUGAGAGGACGAUCAGCCACACGGGGACUGAGACACGGCCCAGACUCCUACGGGAGGCAGCAGUGGGGAAUUUUGGACAAUGGGCGAAAGCCUGAUCCAGCAAUGCCGCGUGUGUGAAGAAGGCCUUCGGGUUGUAAAGCACUUUUGUCCGGAAAGAAAUGGCUCUGGUUAAUACCUGGGGUCGAUGACGGUACCGGAAGAAUAAGGACCGGCUAACUACGUG
rnacentral:rRNA from 1 species